GAUGAACGCUAGCGACAGGCUUAACGCAUGCAAGUCGAGGGGCAGCAUAAAAGUAGCAAUACUUUGGUGGCGACCGGCGCACGGGUGAGUAACGCGUAUGCAACCUACCUAUCAGAGGGGAAUAACCCGGCGAAAGUCGGACUAAUACCGCAUAAAACAGGGGCACCGCAUGGUGAUAUUUGUUAACGAAAUUCGCUGAUAGAUGGGGAGGCGUUCCAUUAGGUAGUUGGUGAGGUAACGGCUCACCAAGCCGACGAUGGAUAGGGGAACUGAGAGGUUCGUCCCCCACACUGGUACUGCGACACGGACCAGACUCCUACGGGAGGCAGCAGUGAGGAAUAUUGGUCAAGGGGCGGGAGCCUGAACCAGCCAAGUCGCGUGAAGGAAGAAGGAUCUAUGGUUCGUAAACUUCUUUUGCAGGGGAAAAAAGUGCAGGACGUGUCCUGUUUUGUAUGUACCCUGAGAAUAAGGAUCGGCUAACUCCGUGCCAGCCGCCGCAGUAA
rnacentral:rRNA from 1 species